GUUGCGAAGCGCCCGUCCGGCUAGCUGCAGCCCGCAGCCGGGUCCCCUCGGGGGUACUCCCCCCAGAAGCCGGGCGGGAGCUGCCGCGGCGAGGUCCAGAGGGGGGACGAGCAUCAGGCUCCGCGCACGUCCACGGGUCCUGUUUAUAUCAGCGUAAGAUCUGCAGAUCACAGCAGGAGUUAACCACAGCAUUCCCAAAAGCUCUUAUGUGACUUAAGUCCAAGCUGGGUUCUGGAUGCUGCAAGGCUGUCAGGAUGCUGCAAAAGACAUUGUUGCAUCUUCUUACCGCAGAGUUGGAGAAGUUUCUCUGUGUGCAGGGAAUACAACAUGUAUGGACAGGAAACUGGUUUCCUUGGUUUGUGGUUUUCUUGUUGCUGUUCUUUUUUAAGGGAUUAACACUCUUAGUUUCAGGAAACUGAAACUAGAUUUGAACAGGGAUUGGAGGGAGGAGGCAGGGUGAAUCCCAUGCAAGAGUCAAAUUUGUCUUGUUUCUGGGAGAACUAAAUAAAGCUGAAUUCAAUUGCCAGUGGCUAAAUAACAGCAAUUUAUGAACUGUUCAUCAAAAGCCCCAGUCAAGCACUGAGUACUGUGAGAAGCUGGAAAUUGACGCUGGGCACCUCCAAAAGACUCCGUUGCUGAAACUUAUUUUAAACCUUUUUCAAGUGGAGGAUCUAGUCCUGGCAAAUGCAUAAAGUCAGCCCUUUUAAGAGCAAAUAGCUUUCUCUAGAGAAUCUAACAAGCAGCUAAAGUCUGUCCGUUUGUCUGCCUGUCUUUUGGCCUUGGAUUACUGUGCUAUUUCAAAGUGUGUUUUCAUAACUCAUAAGUGGUAGAUGUUUCACAUAGCUCUACAAGUAGUAAUCAUGUUUGUGCGUAAUAUCCAAUAUCUAAGGGAUGGGCCCAAACCAGAAGUAUUUCUUGUUUACCUAUGAAGUGUCCUGCUUUAGCGUAUGUACAGUCAGUUCUUGUGGUGAACAUGUGAGUCCAUUGCUGCUCUAAAGGAGGUAGUGACUUAGUUUCAGUGGCUGUAGAGAGUUUCACUGAAAUAGCACUAUUUGUAGUCUUUCAUGUGAUUUAGAAGGCACAAUAGCAAGACAGUUCUGAAAAUGUAAUAUAAUUGUUUGCAGAGUUCUAAGAAAAUGCUCUGAAGUCUUCUCCCAUUGUACCAUUGUGAUAAAAAACUGUUGCUUUUCAAGCUCCACAAGUCCAUGCUGUGUAGUGCUGAAACUGAUAGAAAACCCAAUUAGCACUGGAAAGUGAAGGGCAGAGUGGGCUACUCUGGCCUGGAAUCCCCUCCCUUUGGCAGUAGGAAAGGUCAGUCAUGCAGCCAAAUGCCUGUAACCAAACAUGGAUCCACCCUGUGUGUGUUGCCAGCUCUCUGCAUAGGAGAGUGGAAGGAUGGGUAGAAAGAAUGGAUUCUGGAAGGGGAGAGGCUGAGAGGAAGAGUGGAGUAAAAGAUACCCUGAGCAUGACAGCUGGGAUUUUCGGAAGGUACUCUGCUGGAUGCUGGGCAUCCAACUUCCCUAAGACUCUCUAUCAAUACACUCUCUACAUUUUCAUGAAUGGCUUUUGGCCUGUUUGUCAAUCCUCACAGUCAUUGUGUGAGGGAGAAGAGAUAGAAGGCAGCUCACUCUAAUUUGGCAGCUCUUGGCACCUGGAACAGUCUAGGACUGUAAUAUCUCCUCGUGGCUGUUGGCUGAGGGUCUGAUCCUCUGAUGAGCUGUGACUUCCUUACUACCAGUGACUCAAAACAGGUUUAUAGGACUGGGCUUACAGAAGGCCUAAGGUGCCAGAUCCAAAGAUGUUUUUGGAGCAGGUCUGCUUAGUAGUCCUCAGUAUGGAUAUGAGCACACAGUUCUUUGGAGGCAACAUUCACUCCACAUUCAUAUUGUUUGGGACUUUUCAGAGUGUAAGAUGCCUUUAGUAAGGUGUGAAUAUACUGCAGAAGUCUGUGGGUACCUUUCAGAUAUAUGGCAGGCAGGUCAGAGACUUUAGACCAUACUGUGUGCCAGCACAAACAGCAGGGAUGUUAGUUACAGGAUAGCUUUGCUUUUGCUGUGAAACCUUGCUGAAACGAUGCAUUAUCUCAAGGAAGACAGUUGGGAUUUGCAGGCCAGAUCAUGUGAAUAAAGAAUUGCAUAUCCCCUAUUGAAACUAGUCUGAUUUAUACAGGUAUGGUCCAAAAUUUCUGAGAAAUUGUGGAUGGUAGGGGUUUUUGUUUGUUUGUUGCACCGAAAACUUGAAGCCUUUCAAAUAAAGUAUGUGAGAUAAACAGAUGGAGCAUGUGCUUUAGGCUGUUUGCUGGAUUCAGACUUUGAGCAUACAAGUGCUUUGUAGACAAUACUACACAGUAGUAGAAGAGGUUAUUGGGCUUGGAAGUUGACCAAGGAGACAGGACUCAGCUGAGCUUUGAACAGCAAUCAUUGUCCGUUUUGGUGAUGCCAUAAUAUGUGCUUGACUCGAACCCAAUGUUGCACAGGCCAGAACGUGAUGAAACCACGUAACUAGAUAUUUGUGAUUGUUCCUACCAGUGUGAUCCACUGUUAAAUAGGCUAGACAUAUGAAUAAAAUCAAUAUUUUUUAAA
rnacentral:lncRNA from 1 species